rnacentral:lncRNA from 1 species
AGACGAGAUGUCGCAAUGAGAGAUCGACAGAUUGCAGAUAUGCAAAAACAACUGGAGAGACUGCAGAGAGGAAGGGAUAGUCAAGAACCAGUGACUGGAAACAAACAGAAAGCAACUAACCAUGCAAAGGCAACUGUGAGGCAGGCACUUCAGAAUGCAGAGACUGCUGGAGGGAUGGCUCUAAAUCCACAAUACAAGUUGGAAGCAGAGCAGAACAAGGAAGUUGUGGACUAUGCU